rnacentral:rRNA from 1 species
AAUAAACGUUGGCGGCGUGCUUAACACAUGCAAGUCGAGCGAGAAAGGUCUUCGGACUGAGUACAGCGGCAAACGGGGUGAGUAACACGUGGGAAUCUACCUUUUAGUGAAGAAUACCCUCGAGAAAUCGAGGUUAAUACUGCAUACGUCUCGAAAGAGAGAAAGAUGGCCUCUUUGCUGUCGCUGAAAGAUGAGCCUGCGUACUAUUAGCUAGUUGGUAGGUAAAGGCCUACCAAGGCUAUGAUGGUUAGCCGGCCUGAGAGGGUGUACGGCCACACUGGAACUUAGACACGGUCCAGACUCCUACGGGAGGCAGCAGUGAGGAAUAUUGCGCAAUGGGCGAAAGCCUGACGCAGCGACGCCGCGUGGAGGAUGAAGGUCUUAGGAUUGUAAACUUCUGUUAAAGCGGGAAGAAAGACGAAGUGUUAAUACCAC